rnacentral:misc_RNA from 1 species
UUGAAUUUUUUGUUUAAAGUUAAAAAUAAUUAUUUAAUAUGUUUUGUAUUCUACAGAAUAUGGACUGGAUAAAAUGUGCUUCCAUUAGUUCCAACAGUUGACAGGAUGUUUAUCAACGAGACCCGGUUGUGCGGGCAGGAGGAAUUCCAUGUUUGGAAUAGAACUGCUGAAGAUUUUGGAACAUGCUUCCAGCAUAUAUUCCUUAUUUUUCCAGCACAGGUUUUCCUGGCUGCUACUUCUGCCUACUAUUUAGGGUUUCAAUCCACACAAUGGUUUCUCAGAUCAAGGAUACAGAAGCAGACCUUGAUUUGUCGAUUUCUAGCUGUUCUCUUACUUACCCUCAUACCCUUCAGCAGAUCUAUAGCCUUAUACUGCUUGGAUAGAACUUCCAUGCUUCAGGAAGGGGAAGCAGGGAUUCUGUCAGGAGCUGUUCAAACUUUUUCCUGGUGCCUUCACCUUGUUUACUCUUAUCAACUGCGGCAUAGAAUCAGUCUUUCAGUUCGUGGUCCUCAACCUGUUAUAUUUGCCUGGUUUCUAUGCCUUCUUGUUAAUAUUAUACAGUGUAGAAGUAUCAUCAGUCAGAGUGAUCAUUUGGUAGGAAACUCUGACAAGGUCACAUUUGCUAGUGCCAUUAUAAGCUGCAUCUGUCAAGGUGUAUACCUACUCACGCUUAUUCCUGCUGGCGACCAAAGAUCAAGUCAAUAUGAAGAGCUUGGUUCCAGAGAUAGACCAGAUACGGAACCUCUUCUGUCUGAGCUAGGAUUCAGCACUAGCUUUAGACAGAGAGCAUUAUAUGCUGGGAAUUAUGGAGGUUUCCUUGAUGAACAUGACCCAUACUAUCUUGGGGUGGCAAAAGAUUCAUCUAAGGUGGGUUGGCUAAACAAGCUUCUGUUCUUCUGGGUCAAUCCUCUGAUUGCCAAGGGGGUCAGAGGCAACCUUAACACUGCAGAUGAUGUCCAUGAUCUCCCAGAGUAUAUGACUGUCCAUCAGAUUGGCCUCACAUUCAAGCAAAAAUGGGACUACGCUGAAAGAUUGAAUCCUGGCUCUGUUAAGUUAUUAAAAAUUUUAUAUUCAUGUUAUGGAAAGACAUUUUUUGCCAUUGGUUCUCUAAAAUUUAUCACUGACGUAUCUGGCUUUGCUGGACCUAUACUUUUGAACCUGUUGGUGACAUUUGUAGAAGACAAGAAGAAAGAAAUUCCAAUUGGUUAUGGAUAUUUGUAUGCCAUUCUGCUCUCUGGAACUGCUUUCAUAUCUGCCAUAUCCAGUUGCCAUUUCAAUUUCUUCAUGAGUGAACUUGGACUCCGAAUAAGGGGUGCUGUUAGCUCCUCUGUGUAUAGAAAAGUUAUAAAUGUAUCAAAAAGUAAACUCUCUAAGUUUAACAAUGGACAGAUUAUUAACUUCAUGUCAACAGAUGUUGAUAGAAUAGUCAAUUUUUGCCCCAGUCUUCAUGCAGCAUGGAGCCUUCCUUUCCAGUUCAUAGUUACCCUUAUUCUACUUCACCAACAAGUUGGAAUAUCCUUCCUCACCGGUCUUAUCUUCACAAUACUGGUGAUCCCUGUCAAUAAGUGGAUUGCGAAUAAGAUAGGUAACCUCAGCGAGAAGAUGAUGACUGCAAAAGACUCUCGAGUAAACUUGAUGUCUGAGCUUCUCUCUGGUAUAAGAGUAAUUAAAUGCUUUAAUUGGCAAAAGUUCUUUUCUGGGAAGGUGAAUGAGAAAAGAGGAGAUGAGCUUAAAUAUCUUAAGGGCAGGAAGUAUCUAGAUGCCCUUUGUGUGUUCCUAUGGGCAUCCACACCCGUGAUAAUAUCAGUGCUUACAUUUAUAACCUAUGUCCUUCUUGGGAACACUCUAACUGCAGCGAAGGUUUUUACCUCAGUGGCACUAUUUGCAAUGCUAACAGGACCACUGAAUGCUUUCCCAUGGGUGUUGAAUGGAUUAAUAGAAUCUCUGGUAUCACUGCGCCGAUUAGACAAGUUCUUUGCUCUUGAAGAGUUCAAUCCUGAUGCUUACUUCAGCAGGAUGUAUGAUAUCGCAAAGAUUGAACAGGAGGAAAAUAGUUCAAUUGUGAUGCAAAAUGCUUCCUUUAUCCAUCAAAAUGAGGAAGAUUCACAAUUUAGGCUCAAUAAGCUGAACCUUUCUGUUCUUGAAGGAGAAUUUAUUGGCAUUAUUGGGACUGUUGGUGCAGGGAAAUCCAGUUUACUCGAGUUGGUGGUUGGAGAACUGGAAAAGGUGGAUGGAUGUAUUGCUGUUGAUAAACCUUCAGAAGGUAUUGGAUAUGUGACCCAGGAUCCCUGGAUACAGGAGGGAAAUAUCAGAGAUAAUAUUCUUUUUGGAACAGCUUACCAGCACACACUCUACUCACAGGUGACAGAGGCUUGUGCCCUGGUUGAUGAUUUUAAAAGUUUAGCUCGAGGAGAUAUGACAAAUGUAGGAGAGAAGGGGAGUAAGCUCUCAGGAGGACAGAAAGCAAGAAUAUCACUAGCCCGAGCAGUUUACCAGAACAAGAAGCUGUAUCUAAUAGAUGAUAUAUUCUCAGCUGUAGAUGCUCACGUAGCUGCUCAUAUCUAUAGAAAAUGUAUUAUGGGUUUGUUGGGACACACUACCCGGCUACUGUGUACUCAUCAUACCCGGUAUUUAACGAGUGCUGAUACUGUUGUGUAUAUGGAGGAAGGAUCAAUCGUAGACAAGGGCCCCCCUUCAUCCAUUUUACCAAAAAUGUGUCAGAAAGCAGCCGAGGCCAGUAUAGCCUUCAGUAUGCUUGGAACUCCAUUGGAAACUGGAAGGAAUUCUCCAACCCGAGAUCAGGAAACUGUCUCCCACCCCAGGAAUAGAAAUGGGAAUGUCUCCAUUGAAGACUCCAAUAUAGAGACUCAGGAGAAAGGAACUGUUAAGUUUGCCAUCUAUAAACAAUACUGGAAAGCUGUGGGAGUACUCCUAUCCCCAACUAUUCUCCUGUCCCUGCUAGCCAUGCAGAUAACUCGUAAUCUUACAGAUGUCUGGUUAGCACACUGGGUUAGUCUGGACGAAUCGAAUUCAACCUCGCCCAACACCUCAAGCUCAGAGCUCCAGUACUACCAUGGAUAUCAAUCCGAGGAUCAUCAUGGAGGACCCCACUGGGGGACAGAUCUCAAUAUCAGAUAUUAUCUAACCGUCUAUGCCACCAUUGCAGCAAGUAAUUCUUUCUUCAGCCUUAUCCGUGCCUUCCUGUUUGCCUACGGAGGGAUUUGUGCUGCUAAAUCAAUCCAUGGAAAACUCUUAAGGGUUAUUCUGAAAGGACGGAUAACAUUUUUUGACAAUACUCCUGUUGGUCGGAUACUUAAUAGGUUUAGCUCAGAUCUUUAUACUGUAGAUGAUAGUCUUCCAUUCAUCCUCAAUAUAUUCUUAGCGAAUCUGUUUGGAGUGGUUGGACCUGUUUGUGUCACAGUGUACGCUCUACCCUGGAUACUCUGUAUCCUGGUUCCUCUUACAUUCACAUACUUGAACAUACAGACUAGAUACAGGCCAGCCUCCAGGGACCUCAAGAGAAUAGGAAGUGUUUCUUUGUCUCCAAUAUAUUCACAUUUUUCUGAAACCUUGUCCGGAGUAUCAACUAUUAGAGCAAUGAAUCAGACUGCCCGCUUUGUCAGGGAAAAUGAAGAACGACUUACAUCAAGUAUGAGAGCUAGCUAUGCUGGUCAGGCUGCAAGCCAAUGGCUUGAGCUUCGAUUGCAAAUGAUUGGUUGUGGGAUGGUGGCUGGAGUUGCAGUAAUAGCUGUUCUUCAACAUCAUUUAAGCAUUGCAAACCCAGGACUAGUUGGGUUAGCUAUUAGCUAUGCUCUGGGUAUAACUGGAAAGCUAUCUGGGCUAGUUUCUAGUUUUACCGAGACUGAGAAAGAACUGGUGGCUGUAGAGAGAUGUGUUCAGUAUAUAGAUAAUAUACCAACAGAGAAACUCAAAGGAUCUUUAACCUCCCCUUACGGUUGGCCUAGCGAGGGAGUCAUAAGCUUAAAGAACGUACGCAUGAGGUAUCAAGAUCAUCUCCCAGAGGCUCUAAAAGGCGUUACUUUACAAACAAAAGCUUCUGAGAAAGUUGGAAUAGUUGGAAGAACUGGUUCUGGUAAAUCUUCAAUAUUCCAGUGCCUCUAUAGGCUUGUAGAAAUAGAGAGAGGAAGUAUUCACAUUGACAACGUUGAUAUCUCCCACCUCGACCUGGACGAGCUAAGAGAACAUCUGGCGGUCAUCCCCCAGCAGCCCUUCCUAUUCAGUGGGAGUAUCAGGGAGAAUCUGGAUCCGGAUUCAUUCUGUUCCGACCGUCAGCUGAAAGAGGCACUCAAGAAGGCUAAACUUGAUCGAUUGGUGGACAGGCUUGGUGGUCUAGAUUAUCAAAUAUCAGGCGAAGGAUCAUGUUUCUCGGCCGGACAAAAGCAGCUCUUGUGUUUAGCUAGAGCAAUCCUAUCUCCUGCUCGGAUAGUUCUAAUUGACGAGGCAACAGCUAACGUUGAUCAGGAGACAGAUCAGCAGGUUCAAGAGGUUAUUCAAAGAUGUCUGGCUGACCGGACAAUUCUAAGCAUAGCACACAGGGUCGAUACCGUCCUGGGUUGUGAUAGAGUUUUUGUAAUGGAGAAUGGUUGUGUGGUCGAGUCAGGUCAUCCAAAUUUACUUCUACAGGAUUCUAAUACCAGAUUUAGCAAAUUUGUCUCUGCAAGAUAAAGACAGUAUUCAUUCGCCGACUCCAGUUCACCUUCAAUUCAAUAAAAUUUUUAAAUUUUUAAACAUAUUCUUUUAUACAAAAAUUUCGUUAUUUGGAUUUAUUUGCCAUUCUCUUCCAUUUGAAACUUUUACUGAUCAUGAACAAUUAAUGACAAGCACUGUAUUCAUUGUAAAUAAAAAACUGGUUUCAAAAAGAAUUCUUAAAAGUCGUGCUUUGGAUCAGGAUCCGUUGGAUCUGCAACAUUUUGGCUUCCUGGAUCCUGAUUUGGAUCCAAGGUGGCAAAAUAUCAACAAAAAACUGUAAAAAAAACUUUGCUCUCAACCCCUAAAUCUGAAAAAAGGCUCAUGAAGUUUUAGUA